UACGAAGGGGGCUAGCGUUGCUCGGAAUGACUGGGCGUAAAGGGCGCGUAGGCGGAUGGCACAGUCAGAUGUGAAAUUCCCGGGCUUAACCUGGGGGCUGCAUUUGAUACGUGUUGUCUUGAGUUCGGAAGAGGGUCGUGGAAUUCCCAGUGUAGAGGUGAAAUUCGUAGAUAUUCGCAAGAACACCAGUGGCGAAGGCGGCUCACUGGCCCGAUACUGACGCUGAGGCACGAAAGCGUGGGGAGCAAACAGGG
rnacentral:rRNA from 1 species